AACGAACGCUGGCGGCAGGCCUAACACAUGCAAGUCGAGCGAGGACUUCGGUUCUAGCGGCGGACGGGGGAGUAACGCGGGGGAAUGUGCCCUUCUCUACGGAAUAGCCCUGGGAAACUGGGAGUAAUACCGUAUAGGCCCUAUUGGGGAAAGAUUUAUCGGAGAAGGAUCAGCGCGUGUUGGAUUAGGUAGUUGGUGGGGUAAUGGCCUACCAAGCCGACGAUCCAUAGCUGGUUGGGGAGGAUGAUCCGCCACACUGGAACUGCGACACGGCCCACUCCGCGACGGAGGGCUGGGGUGGAUAAUAUAAUAAACGGGGGCCAGAUGCGGUAACGCCUCGCCGGGGGUGACGGCAGGCCCUUAGUGUUCAAAUUUCUUCUCAGAUGGAAAGUUAAUGACGGUAAAGGAUAAAGAAGCCCCGGCUAACUCCGUG
rnacentral:rRNA from 1 species